CGAGGAACCCGUACUCUGAGGCCACUGUGAAAACAAAUUAUCACACUCCUUAUGGUAUACGUGAGGGGUGGUCGUUGUGGUCAAGAUGAUGGACAAGGAUGGCGACGUCCAGAAACAAGGCUGGUAUUCCUACUUCAUUAUCGCCCUGUCGUUCAUGACGUUGUUCCUCAACUCAAGUCUCUGUUAUGGAGUGUUCCACGUAGCGUUACUGGAGACGUACCGCGCUGAUGUUGACGUUACGGUCUGGCUUGGUUCGUUAUUCUUCAGCAUGUCCUCACUUGCAGGUCCAGUGGCAAGCUUCGUCAUCAACAUGACAGACUGUCGCACCUGUGUAGUCAUAUCUGGGAUACUAGGCCUUGUAGGUUUCU
rnacentral:lncRNA from 1 species